AUUGAACGCUGGCGGCAUGCCCUACGCAUGCAAGUCGAACGGUAACGGGUCCUUCGGGAUGCCGACGAGUGGCGAACGGGUGAGUAAUAUAUCGGAACGUGCCCAGUAGUGGGGGAUAACUGCUCGAAAGAGCAGCUAAUACCGCAUACGACCUGAGGGUGAAAGGGGGGGAUCGCAAGACCUCGCGCUAUUGGAGCGGCCGAUCUCAGAUUAGCUAGUUGGUGGGGUAAAGGCCUACCAAGGCAACGAUCUGUAGUUGGUCUGAGAGGACGACCAGCCACACUGGGACUGAGACACGGCCCAGACUCCUACGGGAGGCAGCAGUGGGGAAUUUUGGACAAUGGGCGCAAGCCUGAUCCAGCAAUGCCGCGUGCAGGAAGAAGGCCUUCGGGUUGUAAACUGCUUUUGUCAGGGAAGAAAUCUUCUGGGCUAAUACCCCGGGAGGAUGACGGUACCUGAAGAAUAAGCACCGGCUAACUACGUGCCAGCAGCCGCAGUAA
rnacentral:rRNA from 1 species